rnacentral:snRNA from 1 species
AUACUUACCUGGCAGGGGAGAUACCAUGAUCACGAAGUGGUUUUCCCAGGGCGAGGCUCACCCAUUGCAGUCCGGGUGUGCUGACCCCUGCGAUUUCCCCAAAUGUGGGAAACUCGACUGCAUAAUCUGUGGUAGUGGGCGACUGCGUUCGUGCUCUCCCCUA